CCUAUGUGAUACGCUGAGGACGUAGACGGAGGUUUGGUCGCCAUGGUAACCAAUGCGUACGGAGCGCGUAGGGAGAGCCGGUUACCAUGACGACUGACACGCCAGAGAAGUAUAAAGAACGGAGCAUUGAUUCAGCUCGGCCAUCCUGAGGAAGCCUGCGGUGACAGGCAAAACUAGUCGAUUGCGAAGCUAUCUAUCACAGUCUGCCGGCAGACACCCGUUCUAUCACUUCCUGUGAUAUAGAACUAUUCAGGCACCUCGUUUUGAUCCUGUGAAGGAAGCAGACCUUAAGUGCAUAUCUUGGAAGUUGGCUUUUCUCCAACCAUAACAUCAGCUAGUAGGGUGUCAAAAUUGGUACAAGUUAAGUAACCAGAGGAAUGAUCAAAUAUGCAGAGAGCUGAAACACUGAUCAUUCCGUAUGAUAACUAGGCAGCUGCUGGGAUUCAUGACUCAGCUUCCUUCAUUUCAAUGGACAGACAGAGCCACCGCAGCUUUUAUCUCUAGCUCAUUUUCAAAAGGGAGUAUAGAUCAUGCCAAGCUAUACAGCGGUGUCAUGGAAAAUUGUGCUGUGAUUUACAGGAAUGUACAAAGACAAAAGUGCAGAGGUCACAAAGAGGUAAUAGUCUAUCUAUACUGUACAUUGCACGUACGAUUACUUGGCUUAUCUAAGUUUUUAUUCCAA